CAUGUGCUGGGCGACUGCUGGGUGUCUGUCACUGCUCAUGAUAAGCCCGAUGGACGGGUCUGGCACACUGCACAAGUACAGGAGAUUAGACAUAAUACAGGCGGCCCAACACAGACAAGAAAGCGUGUCAGCAGAAGUUGGCUUCUCACACCGGUCAGAGAUAAAUUGAGCUGUUGGUAGGUGUCCCUGAUCCUGGAUCAGUCGAAUGCGGACUCCUACCUUGUGCCGUUGAAAGAUGGAGUCUUUCCUUUCUCUGUAAGAAUAAUCUGUGUAUGAAUGAGAAUGAAUGAUGAGCAGCAGGAUGAGGAUCAGCAGAGCUCUCCCACACAGCGCUCGGAGACAUUCUGUCCUGGACAAUUAUUUCUGAGUCCACUCCCUACAUCCGCGGGGCGACCGUGCUGGACGGGUUUUACCUCUGACCCCGGGGGGACGCAGUAGGAGGCUCAAUAAAGCUAGUCAUUGCUGCAUACAAAUCACACAAUGGAGAAUGGGAGACUUAAAUAUGGAGCAGAGAGAGAGGAAAUUGGAAACAUCGCUUUCAGCAUUAUGGGCAUAGUGAAGAUGAUCGCUGAAUGUGCAUAUAUAUUGCUGCUUAGGCUAAGAGGAAUAUCAUGGCUGCCAUAGAGAGGAGGAACCAUCACAGAGCAGACAUAUGUGCCCUCACUGUGCUUUCUGGUUGGUUCAAGUUUAAAGGAGGCGUUUCCGCCAGCGAUGGUCUUGACAGUCACUCCUUUGCCUUCACUUUUACC